rnacentral:rRNA from 1 species
AUGGCGAAGAAGGCCGCAAAACGAGCUGUCAGUGAAGCAAGGGGUCGGGCGUAUGAGGACCUCUACCAACGGUUAGGCACGAAGGAAGGCGCAAGGGACAUCUAUAAGAUGACCAGGAUCCGUGAGAGGAAGACAAGGGAUAUUGGCCAAGUCAAAUGCAUCAAGGACGGAGCAGACCAACUCUUGGUGAAGGACGAGAAGAUUAAGCAUAGAUGGCAGGAGUACUUCGACAAGCUGUUCAAUGGGGAGAAUGAGAGUUCUACCAUUGAACUGGACAACUCCUUUGAUGAGACCAGCAUGCGUUUUGUGCGGCGAAUCUAG